rnacentral:rRNA from 1 species
AGAGUUUGAUCAUGGCUCAGGACGAACGCUGGCGGCGUGCUUAACACAUGCAAGUCAAGGAGAACGGAUCCUUCGGGAUACUAUUAAACUGGCGAACGGGUGAGUAACGCGUAGGCAACCUGCCUUGGAGAUUGGGAUAACCCCGGGAAACCGGAGCUAAUACCAAAUAAUGCAGCGGAUCCUUCGGGAUAUGUUGUUAAAGUGGGCUUCGGCUCACACUUCAAGAUGGGCCUGCGUCCGAUUAGCUUGUUGGUGAGGUAAUGGCUCACCAAGGCGAUGAUCGGUAGCUGGUCUGAGAGGAUGAUCAGCCACACUGGGAUUGAGAUACGGCCCAGACUCCUACGGGAGGCAGCAGUGGGGAAUUUUGCGCAAUGGACGAAAGUCUGACGCAGCAACGCCGCGUGAUCGAUGAAGCUUCUAGGAGUGUAAAGAUCUGUCGUGAGGGAAGAAAAAUCUGGAUGUAAAUAAUGUUCAGACGUGACGGUACCUCACAAGAAAGCACCGGCUAACUUCGUGCCAGCAGCCGCGGUAAUACGAGGGGUGCUAGCGUUGUCCGGAAUUACUGGGCGUAAAGGGUUCGUAGGCGUCUUGCCAAGUUGAUCGUUAAAGCCACCGGCUUAACCGGUGAUCUGCGAUCAAAACUGGCGAGAUAGAAUA